UACCUGUCUCAUUUGCAGGCGAGAUGUC
rnacentral:sRNA from 1 species